GGGAAGCCUCAGGGGGAGCCGUGGCAAGGCUGAGGGGCUGUUGCUCUCUGGGUGCCUCAAGUUUUGCUUUGGAAUCCCAGAGCCUCUCCCUGGGCGGGCUAUGAGGUAAAGGCUACUCUAACUCAGUUUUUUGGUGCCGACUUAACGCUCUUUUCUCGUUCUGUGUCCAUUUCCAGCCUCCCUCGUGGUUUCCCCUGGUGAUGGUGGAGCGUGACAAGUUGUGCUUCCUGCUGGGAGAGAGAAGGACCUUGGAAAGCUGCUCUGCGACCACAGCUGUGCCGAGCCUGGGCGUUUGUACCGGGGGCUGUGUUAUGGAAACUGCACAGACCUGAGCCAGGGGAUUGAAAAGGACUAACCCAGCAAGGUAAAGAAAGAAGGAAGAAGGGAACUGAGGCAGCAGCCAAGCAGCACCAAGUUCCUCUGUCAGCAGGUGAGUUGUCUUGAGGUUCCUAAGGCAGGCACUUGGGACUUCGGGGCCUCCAGACAGAGAAGACCUCGGAAACCCUUCGCUGAAGCCCUUCGGAAUCCUUAUCAGGGUGCCGCGCUUGCCAGGAUCCUUUGGGCACGACGAACCUUCCAGAAUGCUCCAAACCUUCACAGCCCACUUGUUCUUCUUGCCACAGUUGGACCGGCUCAGUGUCCCUGCAGAAAGAGAAAAUUCAAUGAUUCUCUCUGAAACCAGAACCUUCCCUGCUUUGCUUUCCCAUUCCACGUUUUGUUCCCUACACAACUGAGGCCCUUCCGGGCCUUGCCAAGUGGCAGCCAAGAAAUCCAACCCAAGAACCUGCCAGGGAGCAGCCUCUGUGCCACAGCAACAGCAUUCCAGGCCUGUCACUGCCGACCCUCCGCUUCACCCAACAGCUCCAGUGGCACCACAACUUGUCCUGAAGGCAGAAAGGCUCCUUUUAGGAGCACCACGAGCCAUCUAUACUGUAGCACUGGAAUUCCAUCUUCUGGACAAGCUGGGAGAAGAAGGGAAGAAACCAGGACCUUAAAGGCAAAUUAGGAGCACCUGUUCAUCCAGCAGCAGCUCCAAUAAAGGUACCGAGUCAACACCUCACCAAAGACACAGGACAGCAAGGGCCAACACCUUGACAAUCACUUCAGUUUUCAAUUUAUAAAGCCAAAUUAAAGCAAAGCUUUUCAGACACUUGGGAAGACUCAAUCCCAUUGUAACCAGCUUGUGGGACUCAUUCCCAGCCUCCUGAGGUUCAUUUCCCACCUCACUCGUGGCUGCACUAGACCUGGUUACACACACACACACAGAAGGAGCUGCUGCAACUUGUCCAGUUUCCUGCUUCUCCUUGAAACUCCUCCAGCUGUUUUCCCAGCUCUCCAGUGUCCAUUCCUUUGCCCACUGGACUUGUUCCCAGCCCCAGGGCUGCCAGGGCCACCCUGGGCUCUCACCUGCCCUCACACUGAGUGACCUUUCCCAGCCCCGAGUCCAUCCGGCACUGACCGAGCUGCUGGGGGCUGCGGUUCUCCCUGCUCCUUCCCUCCCUCUGCCUGGAGAACACCCCUUCCAGCUCCUGCACCCCCACCUCUUACCUCCCAGAAAAGCAGAGCUGCGUUCCCCCAGAUCCUCCGGCUGGACACCGCUGGCUCUGCGCGGCCCCCACCCUUCGGCGGGAAUGGUGAAGGGAGCUGGGAGGCCACGGCCCCCGAACCUGCCCGGUCUCCGGCUGCCGCACAGACCUGUUUUGUUGACAAGCGGGGCGCUCGAGGAAACUGUGUUGGGUCCGACUGAGCUGAAGUUCCUUUCCCCGCAGUAGCCCUCCCGAUGUGAGGCUUUGCAUUCGCAGCUAGAAGGGUGUCAAUAACGCUGGUGUUUUGGUUACUGCUGUGCACAGCAUCAGCACUGCAACAUUCCUUCCUCAGCUGAGGGCAAGAUCCUGGGAGGGGACCCAAGUAGGCCAGCUGACCCAAACUGACCAAAGGGGUAUUCCAGACCAUAUGACGUGAGCUCAGAUAUAAAAGCUGAGGCGUUCAUUGUGGGUAUCCAAUGGAUGCCUGCUGAGGAACCGUGACACGUUCCGAAGCCCUGCUUCUUGGGAGUAGCCAACCGUCACUGCUCACGAGAAGCAGAGAAUAAACCCUGGUAUCUUUCGCUUCUGUGCGCGCACGCUUUGCUUUACUUUUUUGCUUUAAAUAAACUGCCUUAUCCCAA